AAAACCAGAUAAAGUCCUGAACUAUGAAAGAGUAAGCAAUUAAUAUGUAAAAGAUUUGAAUCUCAUAUGGUUUCAACGUGCUGUAUUACUACUUGUGAAUUGUGAUGAAUGUCCACUGGACAAACCACCAACAUGGGCUGUCGCUGUGGUUUGCUUCAUAUUAGUUGCCAUCUCCAUUUUCAUUGAACAAAUCAUUCAUCAUCUUGGAGAGUGGUUAUGGAAGAAACAAAAGAAACCACUGUAUGAAGCACUUGAGAAGAUCAAGUCAGGGAAAAAUCCAAUUUGCUUCAAAAUACGCAAUUCACCAGCUCCACUUUUUUAUCUUUGUAUUAGCAGUUGCACAUGUGCUAUAUUGUAUUACAACUUUGGGAUUUGGCAAACUAAGGGUAACUUUGUAUUGGAAAAAUUUGAGUUUACAUAUUAAAGUGGUGUAAAGAUGACGUGUCAUGACACAUAGACUGGUCAAAGAGUUACAACUGGCAAAGAGGCACGAGUUGCAACAAAUACGAGCAGAGGUAAAGGAAGAGGCACGAGCAGUUAUCCAAAAGACUCGGCGCUCGUACUUAUUUAAGUCCAAGAAUCAAGGAGAAUGAAUAUGACACUACAUGGUAGUACAGAUACAGUAUUUAAUAAGCCUUAAAUACUAAAAACGUUAGAGAAUCUGUAUUAAAUGCAUUGAUUAUGUAACGUAACAUUUAAUGUCUUUAAUUGUCCAUAAUGGCCUUAUUAUGACAAAGACAAAACGCAUAUCUCCAAAGUAGCUAUAAAAGGGAGAGAACGGAUCAAUUGUAGGGACACAAAAUAUUAUCUGAAUGUACCGAUUU